rnacentral:rRNA from 1 species
AACGCGAAGAACCUUACCUACUCUUGAAUCCACAGGAGAUUGCAGAGAUGCGAUUGUGCCGAAAGGAACUGUGAGACAGGUGCUGCAUGGCUGUCGUCAGCUCGUGUCGUGAGAUGUUGGGUUAAGUCCCGUAACGAGCGCAACCCUUGUCCUUAGUUACUAACGGGUAAAGCCGAGGACUCUAAGGAGACCGCCGGUGAUAAACCGGAGGAAGGUGGGGACGAUGUCAAGUCAUCAUGGCCCUUACGAGUAGGGCUACACACGUGCUACAAUGGUUGGUACAAAGGGCCGCUAAGUCGCGAGAUGGAGCAAAUCCUAAAAAACCAAUCGUAGUCCGGAUUGGAGUCUGCAACUCGACUCCAUGAAGCUGGAAUCGCUAGUAAUCGUGGAUCAGAACGCCACGGUGAAUACGUUCCCGGGCCUUGUACACACCGGCUAC